AACGAACGCUGGCGGCAUGCCUAACACAUGCAAGUCGAGCGAGAACCGAGAGCUUGCUCUCGGGGAAAGCGGCGCACGGGUGAGUAACGCGUGGAUAACGUACCUAAUGGUUGGGGAUAACCUGCUGAAAGGCGGGCUAAUACCCGAUAAGUUCUUCUUGAGUACGCUCGAGAAGAAGAAAGCGGGGCAACUCGCGCCAUAUGAACGGUCCGCGUCCCAUCAGCUAGUUGGCGGGGGUAAUGGCCCACCAAGGCUACGACGGGUAACUGGUCUGAGAGGACGACCAGUCACACUGGGACUGAGACACGGCCCAGACUCCUACGGGAGGCAG
rnacentral:rRNA from 1 species